rnacentral:sRNA from 1 species
UUGGGCCAGGUAUAGGUCGUGUCUUCGGUCCAGGUUCUUCUGCCCAAGGCUAAUAUG